GCGGCGUGCUUACACAUGCAAGUCGAGCGGUAAGGCCCUUCGGGGUACACGAGCGGCGAACGGGUGAGUAACACGUGAGCAACCUGCCCCUGACUCUGGGAUAAGCGGUGGAAACGCCGUCUAAUACCGGAUACGACCCGCCACCUCAUGGUGGAGGGUGGAAAGUUUUUCGGUCAGGGAUGGGCUCGCGGCCUAUCAGCUUGUUGGUGGGGUAACGGCCUACCAAGGCGAUUACGGGUAGCCGGCCUGAGAGGGCGACCGGCCACACUGGGACUGAGACACGGCCCAGACUCCUGCGGGAGGCAGCAGUGGGGAAUAUUGCGCAAUGGGCGAAAGCCUGACGCAGCGACGCCGCGUGGGGGAUGACGGCCUUCGGGUUGUAAACCUCUUUUACCACCAACGCAGGCUUCCAGUUCUCUGGAGGUUGACGGUAGGUGGGGAAUAAGGACCGGCUAACUACGUGCCAGCAGCCGCGGUAAUACGUAGGGUCCGAGCGUUGUCCGGAAUUAUUGGGCGUAAAGAGCUCGUAGGCGGCG
rnacentral:rRNA from 1 species